AAAUGAAUUGACGGGACCCGCACAAGCGGUGGAUGAUGUGGUUAAUUCGAUGCAACGCGAAAACCUUACCCACCUUUGACAUGUACGGAAUCCUUUAGAGAUAGAGGAGUGCUCGAAAGAGAACCGUAACACAGGUGCUGCAUGGCUGUCGUCAGCUCGUGUCGUGAGAUGUUGGGUUAAGUCCCGCAACGAGCGCAACCCUUGCCAUUAGUUGCUACAUUCAGUUGGGCACUCUAAUGAGACUGCCGGUGACAAACCGGAGGAAGGUGGGGAUGACGUCAAGUCCUCAUGGCCCUUAUAGGUGGGGCUACACACGUCAUACAAUGGCUGGUACAAAGGGUUGCCAACCCGCGAGGGGGAGCUAAUCCCAUAAAACCAGUCGUAGUCCGGAUCGCAGUCUGCAACUCGACUACGUGAAGUCGGAAUCGCUAGUAAUCGUGGAUCAGAAUGUCACGGUGAAUACGUUCCCGGGUCUU
rnacentral:rRNA from 1 species